rnacentral:lncRNA from 1 species
GCCCCCGCCUGCCCCGCCCGGCGCCGCACCACGUGGGCCAGGCGCCCCACGCCUGGAGCUCCCCUCUCUGGAGCCCCGGGAAAGGAAGCGGGGCAGGGAGGCCGGGUGGGAGCAGGGGGGUCUCCGGCGCUUCCUCUCCUCUGCGGGCGCCGCGCGGCUCCUGAGAGUCCGCCCCCCGUCCUGACGCUCAGCUAGGAAGCGGGUCCUCGGGCCCCUCCCCCGACACACACACACACACACACACACACACACACACACACACACACUCUCUCUCUCUCUCUCUCUCUCUCUCUCUCUCUCUCUCUCUCUCACACACACACACACACACACAGCCCGUCUCGCGCCUGAGGUCUCGCCCGCAGGCCGGUGGCGCGGGGUCAGCUGCUGCCUGCGGUCCAGGACAGGGUCGGUUCCGCCGCGCAGCGCCCAGGCCCAGCUCGUCCAGAGUCUGCGGACAGCGCACGUCCAGGUAACGCGCUUCAAGGGGCCGCGGCUCGGAGCUGGGGGACCCCGGGCCGCCCUGCCCAUACGAGUGCGAGCGUGGAGAGCGCGGGCGGGGGCGCGGUCCCGGGGGCCGGCCAGCUGGAGGGGGCGGGAGCGCUGGGCGGGGCCUGCGCUGACCCCGGCGCUGAGUCCCUGGGGCCGCCGGGCGGAUGGCGUGGCCGGACGCGGGGGCCCCGGGCCUUCCGGGCGUGACCUAGGGCUCGGGGGCGGGGAGGCCCCUCCGGCGGGGCGGCCCUGGGUGGUCCGGCAGAGGCGGAGGCCGCUCCGAGCCUGUGAGCCCUGGGCGCCUGCGGAGGCGGGGAGAGGGCGGGGUGUGCCGCCCUGGUGGGGACCGCGGGGUCGGAGAGGGGACAUUGCCCCCCCCGAGGCGAACGUCCAACCGCGGGUCCGGGUCCCCGCCCAAGGCCGCCCCGCGAGGUGGCCUCGGCCCGGCCGUCCCCGAGGGUGGCUCGGAUCCUUUCAACCAGCGCGCUGGAGGCGAAGGGGCUGCGCCAUUCCGGGUCAGGCAGCCAACGCGGGACACGCGCGUCUCCGAGCUUGCGGCCCGCGAAACCCGGGUGACCUACCGCGCCGGUGCCCUCAAAGCCCCCACGCCCGGGCCGGUGGCCGCUGCAGCCACUGAGCCACGCGGUCUCCCCGGCCCGGUCGGCAGAAGGAGCUGGUCCGUUACUAGAAAAGUCCAGAUGCAAAGUCGGGGGUCGUGCUGCCGCUUCCUGCCAGCGCACCGCACCCACCUGGGGCCGCCACCGACCGCACAGGACGCGCCUCCUACCCCCUGUUCUGGCCCGGCCGAGAGCUGGUGCCCCCAGCGGCCGCCCGCCCCCGUCCGCAGACCCCGGGGCCCUUGCUGCUUUGCAUUGGGAACAACCGGAGCCAGGCCCGGAGCUGAGGGGGCCAGGGCCUUUGGAGGAAGCAUUGGCCUCCAGGCUGAAGAGCAAGGGCCGUGUCACCUGCCCGGAGGGCGGUCUCAUCUCUGCAGCCAGGUCAGAGGAAGCAGCGGUGGGGAGACGGAGUGCGCGAGUUGGGAGGCUCCACGCAUCGUAGGUGGAGAGCUGGCUGCCAGCCUGGCCUGCCCUCUCUUCCCCGUCCCACCAUCUCGCUUGGCUCCGGCACCUGCCUGGGAAGACCCACACCUCCGUCUGCAGUGCCUCUUCCCCCUGGAGGCCCUGCCCUCCGCUCGGGGUCCCCGCAUCCUUCCGUGGCCCUCAGAGCAUCGCCUGGGGCGCCCGCGGAACUCAUCUGUUAGGCCUGGGAUGCAGGCAGGCAGAAGUGGGGGUUUAAGUGGAAGCAGUGAGGGUGGGGGUCCGGUCCAAACUGUGCCACCUUCCACCCCCUGCCCCUGGGAGAGCAGACAUCGCCCACUCGGGCUCACAGUGCCAUCCGGGUGAGGACCUCCGUGGAGAGCUCUCUUUGCCAAAGAAAAGCAGUUGCAUUAGGUCUGCGAGCAGGCAGGGUGGCCUCUUCCUGGCUCCCCAUCCACCAAGGAAGCUUCAAGUCCCUGGGACACAGGUGGGGAACUCCAGCACCCCUGGAGGAAGGGAGACUGAGGUUGGGGAGUGGCAUCCAGGCCCUGACUCUGGGGCACGGUGGUCUGUGCAACUGAGACCCUGCCUCAGGCUCCAACAGCGCCUGCUCCUUUCCCCAGGUUGCAGUGAUCACCAGGGGAGGUGCUGGGCGUGCAGGCUGCCACAGGAGGGGUGGGGAGGUGGGGAGUCUCUGUGGCGGGGUGGUGGGGGCCUAGGCCAGUCAGCUGAGGACGUGUUGGUGCACUCCCGGGAGGGCGGUAUGUGGGUGAGGAUCCCCAUGCAGAGUGGUGCCCACAAACCCCCCUUCCAGAGUCAUCUCUGGUCCACCUUGAAGUCCCCAGGAAAAUGACCUCGUCCUCCGCGGGUGUGAGCCACUAGGCCUGAGAGGACGCCGGGACGGAGCUUUCAGAGAGGGAGGUGUCGGGAUGGCUUGAGGGUCACCAGCCCAGACGUCCUCCUGGUCCUCCUGAUGCCCCCGACCUCCACGGAGGACGAGCAUUUCCAGCCCAGCCCUCCCCAUCUUCACCUCGCACUCCCCUGACACACUGGGAGCCUCCUGAUCCGUGAACCCGCGCUGGCGGGAGUAGCUACUGACCGCUGGGGACCCCUGCCCAGGCUGUUCGCAUGUGGAAAGGAUUCAGGGAGCAGGCGAUGCCCAAAGCGUGGAGACCAGCACUGCUCUCUCCCCAGUGACAGUACAGCUGUGCCGUGUACAGGAGGGUGCUGUCUGACGCCAGACACCUGGACUACAGAUCGCAGCCUGAUUCCUGGUCAUUGCUCCACUGAACCCCAGACCCCAGCCUCGUUCUGGGCCCUCAUCCCCUAGAUCCAGGGACCCCAGCCCCAUUUCAGCCCUUGGGCCCUUGUAGGAUGCGAGGCCCUGGGCCCCAGCCCCCAGCCCAUCCGUGGCCCAGGCACUGGGGGGCUGAGGUCCUCUGAGAAGGGACACAGGGCCUGGGGGGCUCUCUCAGCCCAUCAGCAGGAGAGGACUGACUCCAGAAAAAUCAGCGUUUGUACCCACUCAGGCUGCCAAGACCUGUGUCCGUCCUUCCAAGCUCAACCUUCAGAGUUCAUGAGGCCCCUUGCCCAGAAUGUCCACAGAGUUCAUGAGGCCCCUUGCCCGGAAUGUCCACAUUUGAAACCUCCCAACACCGAGCCCCAUUUCAAGUAUAACCAGGAGGGAAAAUGGUGCUUGAAAUAAGCAUGCCACAAAGGAAAACCUGCUUUCUCGAAAUGGGCCCUGGCCGCCCAGGCCCUGACCUCCCCGGCCAGGAUGGAACGUUCCAGAGACCCAUUAGUGCCAAAGGCAAAUGAAAACACACCCUGUGAAAAUGUC